rnacentral:rRNA from 1 species
UACAGAGACUGCAAGCGUUAUUCGGAUUCACUGGGCGUAAAGGGUGCGCAGGCGGUUGGGUGUGUCAGAUGUGAAAUCCCGAGGCUUAACCUCGGAACUGCGUCUGAAACUACUCGACUAGAGUACUGGAGAGGGAAACGGAAUUCACGGUGUAGCAGUGAAAUGCGUAGAUAUCGUGAGGAACACCAGAGGCGAAGGCGGUUCUCUGGGACGGUACUGACGCUGGAGACGCGAAAGCGUGGGGAGCGAACAGG